rnacentral:rRNA from 1 species
AUUGAACGCUGGCGGCAGGCUUAACACGUGCAAGUCGAGCGGAGAGAGGUAGCUUGCUACUGAUCUUAGCGGCGGACGGGUGAGUAAUACUUAGGAAUCUGGCUAUUAGUGGGGGACAACAUUUCGAAAGGGAUGCUAAUACCGCAUACGUCCUACGGGAGAAAGCAGGGGAUCUUCGGACCUUGCGCUAAUAGAUGAGCCUAAGUCGGAUUAGCUAGUUGGUGGGGUAAAGGCCUACCAAGGCGACGAUCUGUAGCGGGUCUGAGAGGAUGAUCCGCCACACUGGGACUGAGACACGGCCCAGACUCCUACGGGAGGCAGCAGUGGGGAAUAUUGGACAAUGGGGGGAACCCUGAUCCAGCCAUGCCGCGUGUGUGAAGAAGGCCUUAUGGUUGUAAA